GCCCGGCUAGCUCAGUUGGUAGAGCAUUCGACUCUUAGGAGUUUCCAGCUGCGAUCGAAUUGUCGUGGGUUCGAGCCCCACGUUGGGCG